rnacentral:rRNA from 1 species
AGAGUUUGAUCCUGGCUCAGGACGAACGCUGSCGGCGUGCUUAACACMUGCAAGUCGAACGAGGUUGCUCUUUGUGAAUCCUUCGGGAGGAACUGUGAGUAUACCGAGUGGCGGACGGGUGAGUAACGCGUGAGCAACCUGCCCUGCAACGGGGGACAACAGUUGGAAACGACUGCUAAUACCGCAUGAGACCACGGUUUCGCAUGGAACUGGGGUAAAAGGAUUUAUUCGAUGCAGGAUGGGCUCGCGUCCCAUUAGAUAGUUGGUGAGGUAACGGCCCACCAAGUCAACGAUGGGUAGCCGACCUGAGAGGGUGAUCGGCCACACUGGAACUGAGACACGGUCCAGACUCCUACGGGAGGCAGCAGUGGGGAAUAUUGGGCAAUGGGCGAAAGCCUGACCCAGCAACGCCGCGUGAGGGAAGAAGGUCUUCGGAUUGUAAACCUUUGUCCUAUGGGACGAAACAAAUGACGGUACCAUAGGAGGAAGCUCCGGCUAACUACGUGCCAGCAGCCGCGGUAAUACGUAGGGAGCAAGCGUUGUCCGGAAUUACUGGGCGUAAAGGGUGCGUAGGUGGCCAUGUAAGUCAGGUGUGAAAGACCGGGGCUCAACCCCGGGGCGGCACUUGAAACUGUGUGGCUUGAGUACAGGAGAGGGAAGUGGAAUUCCUAGUGUAGCGGUGAAAUGCGUAGAUAUUAGGAGGAACACCAGUGGCGAAGGCGACUUUCUGGACUGUAACUGACACUGAGGCACGAAAGCGUGGGGAGCAAACAGGAUUAGAUACCCUGGUAGUCCACGCCGUAAACGAUGGAUACUAGGUGUGGGGGGCGAUAGUCCUCCGUGCCGAAGCUAACGCAUUAAGUAUCCCGCCUGGGGAGUACGAUCGCAAGGUUGAAACUCAAAGGAAUUGACGGGGGCCCGCACAAGCAGCGGAGCAUGUGGUUUAAUUCGAAGCAACGCGAAGAACCUUACCAAGGCUUGACAUCCUCUGACGCAUGUAGAGAUACAUGUUCCCUUCGGGGCAGAGAGACAGGUGGUGCAUGGUUGUCGUCAGCUCGUGUCGUGAGAUGUUGGGUUAAGUCCCGCAACGAGCGCAACCUUAUUGCUAGUUGCCAGCGAGUAAAGUCGGGAACUCUAGUGAGACCGCCGGGGACAACUCGGAGGAAGGUGGGGACGACGUCAAAUCAUCAUGCCCCUUAUGUCUUGGGCUACACACGUGCUACAAUGGCCGGUACAAAGGGCAGCGACCCCGUAAGGGUGAGCGAAUCUCAAAAAGCCGGUCCCAGUUCGGAUUGUGGGCUGCAACCCGCCCACAUGAAGUCGGAGUUGCUAGUAAUCGCGAAUCAGCAUGUCGCGGUGAAUGCGUUCCCGGGCCUUGUACACACCGCCCGUCACACCACGGAAGUUGGGAGCACCCGAAGCCAGUGGCUUAACCGUAAGGAGAGAGCUGUCGAAGGUGAGAUCAAUGACUGGGGUGAAGUCGUAACAAGGUAGCCGU